rnacentral:snoRNA from 1 species
UUCCAUCGCUAAGUCAAGGCGCCUUUCUGCAUUCCUUUGCAAAUUUCUCAAUGAUAGUCGCCUGUUACAGCUUUGGUACAUUAAGCCGCACUCUGCCAUCUUCUUCGGGAGGUGGUACUAGACUCUGGUUCCGUCUUGGAAACUCGGUCGCCACGGUGCAUCGCGUGUUUCGUUUGAGUUGAGUUGUGCUUCUCUUUUUCAUAGCAAGGCUCUUAGUAAUGUCUCACACAAUA